GGGGACUUCGAGGUCGUGUCGGACAUGCCGGUCGUCAUCGCCCUGGACGACCAGAUGCCCGACGAGGCGGAGCUCGACGAGCCGUGGGAGCAUAUCUCGGCGGACGAGCUCGACGAGAAGCGCGAGAGCCCCCCGUCGUACGCCACCGUGCUCGCGAACGCGAUAUGAUUGGCACAUGCAUGCACGAUACCCCUCCCUCCCCACGCACACGGAUCCGCAGCAUAAUAUAUCGGGGUCGGACUGAGGAA
rnacentral:misc_RNA from 1 species